AACACCACGAGAUGGAUUCCUCUUGCUUGAGGAGCUGGUUUCAUAGACAGCUUAGGUGAGAAAGUGCUUGGAUGCUGAAGGCCUUUGGAAGAGGGAAACCCCCCAGGUGGUGAAGUGGAGGAACACCAUCUCCAGGGGAAGCUCCAUCAGAAAGUCUGGGACUGCAAGUGCUGUCUGUCACCUUGCUCAUCUUGAGCCUGGUGAAAUGCUACAUCCACCUUUCCACAGCUAGCAGGAUGUGACCUUUGCAAAGGAGAAGAGGUGUAGGAAGAAAACGUAUUUUUUAGAAGUGAGUGCUUGAGAGAUUAUAAUUUAUGCAAAUCCUUUCAGGGUAGAUCUCAUUGGGGGUUUUUUUUGAACCAAAC
rnacentral:lncRNA from 1 species